UACAGAGGUCCCAAGCGUUGUUCGGAUUCAUUGGGCGUAAAGGGUGCGUAGGCGGCGCGGUAAGUCGGGUGUGAAAUCUUGGAGCUUAACUCCGAAACUGCAUUCGAUACUGCCGUGCUUGAGGACUGGAGAGGAGACUGGAAUUUACGGUGUAGCGGUGAAAUGCGUAGAUAUCGUAAGGAAGACCAGUGGCGAAGGCGGGUCUCUGGGCAGUAACUGACGCUGAGGAGCGAAAAGCGUGGGGGAGCGAAACAGGG
rnacentral:rRNA from 1 species